CACGUAGGCGGACUUUUAAGUCAGGGGUGAAAUCCCGGGGCUCAACCCCGGAACUGCCUUUGAUACUGGAAGUCUUGAGUCCGAGAGAGGUGAGUGGAACUCCGAGUGUAGAGGUGAAAUUCGUAGAUAUUCGGAAGAACACCAGUGGCGAAGGCGGCUCACUGGCUCGGUACUGACGCUGAGGUGCGAAAGCGUGGGGAGCAAACA
rnacentral:rRNA from 1 species